rnacentral:rRNA from 1 species
AUUGAACGCUGGCGGCUUGCCUUACACAUGCAAGUCGAACGGCAGCACGGGAGCAAUCCUGGUGGCGAGUGGCGAACGGGUGAGUAAAGUAUCGGAACGUGCCCAGUCGUGGGGGAUAACGUAGCGAAAGUUACGCUAAUACCGCAUACGAUCUAUGGAUGAAAGCGGGGGAUCGCAAGACCUCGCGCGAUUGGAGCGGCCGAUAUCAGAUUAGGUAGUUGGUGGGUUAAAGGCUCACCAAGCCGACGAUCUGUAGCUGGUCUGAGAGGACGACCAGCCACAAUGGGACUGAGACACGGCCCAGACUCCUACGGGAGGCAGCAGUGGGGAAUUUUGGACAAUGGGCGAAAGCCUGAUCCAGCCAUGCCGCGUGCAGGAUGAAGGCCUUCGGGUUGUAAACUGCUCUUGUACGGAACGAAAAGGUUUGGGCUAAUAAGCUGAGCUCAUGACGGUACCGUAAGAAUAAGCACCGGCUAACUACGUGCCAGCCGCCGCCGUAA